UUUGGAAAAUGAGUGGUCUUCUCUAUCUAGACGUGUCAUAGAAUUCAAUAGAGGGAGAAGUUCCAUGAGAUAUUGGAGGACUGAAAGCCAUUGUAGAACUACAUCUUUCCAGUAACCACUUUUCAGGUACAAUUCCUAAGUCUUUGGAAAAACUCUCCUACCUUAAAAGCAUUAAUGUUUCAUUUAAUGAUUUAGAAGGUGUAAUACCGAGUGGUGGUGU